UGGAUGUAGAUAAAAAGUAUCUAUCAGCGGGCAGCUGGGUUGCUUCCACCUUCUGGCCACUGUGAACAAAGCUGCUGUGAACAUGUGUCCAGCCCAAUAUGGAGUAUUACUACUACAGCAAUACCCACAGCUAUAAGAACCCCCCAGCCCCAACCACCACCACUGCUACCACCAGCAGCAGCCAACAUGGAAACUGUGCCCUUUUUGCUCUGAGUCUGGUGCCCCCCACGGAUGAAGUCCAUUGGAAUUCAGAUCCCACAGAGACUGGAGGGCAGCAGUGUCUCCACUGGAAGAAAAAAGCCUGAGACUGCAGGUAAGUGCUGGAAACAGGAGCAGCUCACCCAGGGAGACCAGAAAGCCUGCAGCCUAAGAAGAAAAGCUGAGUUUGGGACCUGGCAAAUGAUUGGGUGAUCAGGGAAUUCUAUGCAGUGUAGAGAGCAGGUGUACUCAUUCUUGUUUCAUGGGUUAAACAGCCAACAGAGGUUAGAAGGAUGAUGGGCUCAUUCCAUUUCACACAAAUUGACACUUAAAUUUAUAGGUGGCCUGUCCAGAAAGUAUUCAGCCAUGCACUAUGAAAAAUAGAGACAUUUAUUGAAGAAGUUACAAGAUGCAAGAAACGUGCAUAGGACAAUGACACCUCAGUCCCCUUCAAAGUCAUGACCUUCUUGAGGAAAUCUGGUUCAUUGGCAGCAGUUUGAAUCAAGGCAUUAGCAACUGCAGCAUGAUGUUCCUUCUGCUCUAGUAGCAGAAGCCAUGGAAUGAAUUUUGCCACAACAUGUUCACGCCAAGAUCCCACAUCAAAAUCUCAGGCACAGUUGUUCCUGUAAUCCCCAAAUCAGCUUCUAGUUCUUGCUCUCUUAGUCAUUGAUCUUUGUUGAUUGCAGCCUGCAUACACUCAACACUCUCAGGCAUUCUACUUGUUGCAGGCCUUCCAGAACAUGGAUCACUUUCAACAGAUUCUCAACCAUCUUUGAGGUGUUUGUGCCACACUUUUAUUUGUGCUGCACUCAUGGCAUCAUCCCCAAAAACCUUUUGAAUCAUCUGAAUAGUUUCCAGAGGGGAAUGGUUAUACUUAACACAAAAUGUGAUGCAGAUUCAUUGCUCUUUUUGCUCAGUCCUUUUGAAUGUGAUGGUCACACAGUACACAUGCUCACUCAACAGCAUCCACCACCCCCACUGACUGGCACAGUAAAGUCAUCAUUGUGCACACAGGCACAUUCCCGUCCACUCACCUCUGCUGCCAGGUUACACUGACGUCACACAAACU